rnacentral:rRNA from 1 species
GAAUUUUAUAUAAAUUUUAAUUAAUUAUCUUGAUUAUAAAGAUUUUAAUUAGGUUUUAUAUUUGAUUGGGAGGAUAGUUAAAUUAAAAGAACUUUAAUUGAAAAAAACAUUGAUUUAUGAAAAUUUAUAAAAAAAAAGAUUAAGAUUUUUUUUGAAAAAAGUCUUAUAAAAGAAUUAAUUACCUUAGGGAUAACAGCGUAAUAUUUUUAUAAAGAUCUUAUUGAUAAAAAUGAUUGC